UGCAGUCGUACGAUGGAUGCCCUUAAGGGGUGGAUUAGUGGCGAACGGGUGAGUAACACGUGGGCAAUCUGCCCUUCACUCUGGGACAAGCCCUGGAAACGGGGUCUAAUACCGGAUAACACUGCGGAUCUCAUGGUCUGCGGUUAAAAGCUCCGGCGGUGAAGGAUGAGCCCGCGGCCUAUCAGCUUGUUGGUGAGGUAAUGGCUCACCAAGGCGACGACGGGUAGCCGGCCUGAGAGGGCGACCGGCCACACUGGGACUGAGACACGGCCCAGACUCCUACGGGAGGCAGCAGUGGGGAAUAUUGCACAAUGGGCGAAAGCCUGAUGCAGCGACGCCGCGUGAGGGAUGACGGCCUUCGGGUUGUAAACCUCUUUCAGCAGGGAAGAAGCGAAAGUGACGGUACCUGCAGAAGAAGCGCCGGCUAACUACGUGCCAGCAGCCGCGGUAAUACGUAGGGCGCAAGCGUUGUCCGGAAUUAUUGGGCGUAAAGAGCUCGUAGGCGGCUUGUCACGUCGAUUGUGAAAGCCCGAGGCUUAACCUCGGGUCUGCAGUCGAUACGGGCUAGCUAGAGUGUGGUAGGGGAGAUCGGAAUUCCUGGUGUAGCGGUGAAAUGCGCAGAUAUCAGGAGGAACACCGGUGGCGAAGGCGGAUCUCUGGGCCAUUACUGACGCUGAGGAGCGAAAGCGUGGGGAGCGAACAGGAUUAGAUACCCUGGUAGUCCACGCCGUAAACGGUGGGAACUAGGUGUUGGCGACAUUCCACGUCGUCGGUGCCGCAGCUAACGCAUUAAGUUCCCCGCCUGGGGGAGUACGGCCGCAAGGCUAAAACUCAAAGGAAUUGACGGGGGCCCGCACAAGCAGCGGAGCAUGUGGCUUAAUUCGACGCAACGCGAAGAACCUUACCAAGGCUUGACAUACACCGGAAAGCAUUAGAGAUAGUGCCCCCCUUGUGGUCGGUGUACAGGUGGUGCAUGGCUGUCGUCAGCUCGUGUCGUGAGAUGUUGGGUUAAGUCCCGCAACGAGCGCAACCCUUGUUCUGUGUUGCCAGCAUGCCCUUCGGGGUGAUGGGGACUCACAGGAGACUGCCGGGGUCAACUCGGAGGAAGGUGGGGACGACGUCAAGUCAUCAUGCCCCUUAUGUCUUGGGCUGCACACGUGCUACAAUGGCAGGUACAAUGAGCUGCGAAACCGUGAGGUGGAGCGAAUCUCAAAAAGCCUGUCUCAGUUCGGAUUGGGGUCUGCAACUCGACCCCAUGAAGUCGGAGUUGCUAGUAAUCGCAGAUCAGCAUUGCUGCGGUGAAUACGUUCCCGGGCCUUGUACACACCGCCCGUCACGUCACGAAAGUCGGUAACACCCGAAGCCGGUG
rnacentral:rRNA from 1 species